UUGUGGAGUGGUUGAAAAAUGAGUUUAAAUGACUCCAACCUAAGUGUAUGUAAACUUCCGACUUGAACUGUAACUAGAGGACUUUAGAUGAAAACAAGUAUUGUGCAUGUUUUAAUGUAGUUAGUAGACUCAACACUGACUACAGACUCUCUGCUUAGAGUUCACUCCUGCAAUGCACUAUCGAUGUGUUGUUGUUUCACAGGUAGCUAGGAACAGUUGUUAUAUGGGUGAUGGCUGUUGAACUGGCUUAAUACCCCCCCCCGCACCAUGUUGACCCCACAGUUGGGUCAAGUUGUCUGGAUGUCAUUUGGGUGGUGGACCAUUCUUGAUACACACAGGAAACUGUUGAGCGUGGAAAAACCCAGUUGCGUUGCCAUUCUUGACACAAACUGGUGCGCCUGGCACCUACUACCAUACCCCGUUCAAAGGUAUUAAAAUAUUUUGUCUCGCCUCUUCACCCUCUGAAUGGCAUACAUAAUCCAUGUCCCAAUUGUCUCAACGCUUGAAAAUCCUUCUUCAUCCUGUCUCCUCCCCUUCAUCUACACUGAUUGAAGUGGAUUUAACAAGUGACAUCAAUAAGGGAUCAUAGCUUUCACCUGGAUUCACCUGAUCAGUCUAUGUAAUGGGAAGAGCAGGUGUUCUUAAUAUUUGGUAUACUCACUGUAUAUUUACCUAUGGUGAAAUGCUAAUGUUUUGCAAUAGUUUGCUGUAAUCCCUGAAUAUGCUUCUAGGCUUUUUGACACUUGACCUGUUCAACUCUUGCGGUACUGUAUUCUUAAUAAAUUGAAACUCUAUUAAUUUUCAACAGGGCUCGUAAUGGCUGAAAUGGAGCAUCCUACACAGCAAGGAGUCUGCAGGAUGAUAGGCUAUUGCACAUUGGUCCUGUGUCUCAUGCCACAGAUGACAUGGGCUCAAGUGAGCUACAUGCAAGGGGAUCCCGAAACCCUACACGUCAACAAAGUGCUCCAUAAGUCCCUUAGUGUGGGAGAAGUGCAUGAUGGAGAUCAGAUGACAGAGUCCCUGUAUGAAAUCAAAUUCUGGGAGAAUACAGAAAAAAAAGUCACUGCCAGCUAAGUCUAACAGAGAAAGAGGUAUUUGCGUUCGGACAAAAUACACACAACUUCACAGUACAUUGCAUAAGGAUCAGUCGGUCGUUCUUCAGUUCUAUCUCCCUUUACAUCCCAGUACAGGCCCAUGGCUUAGCCCAGAUACAUGUCGACGUGCUCUCACUGUGUGUGUCUGUCUGUGUCUUUAAUGUGUAUGGAGGUGUCCAGGUGGACACACCUGGACUUCUACAUCAUGUACAACGGCGACUCUGUGAUCUUUGCCAACAUCUCAGUGAAGGACUCCAAGCCAGUUUCAAUUACAAUAAAACUUUUACACAGUAUGUGUGUAUUUUCAGCA